rnacentral:misc_RNA from 1 species
UUUCCGUAGGUGAACCUGCGGAAGGAUCAUUAGUGAUUUGGCCGAGAGGCCUUAUAACAAUAUCAUCCUCACACCUGUGAACAUGUUCGGGCUCGGUUGACGCCGGCCCGGAACCCUUUACAAACAUAUGUGUAAUGAACGUAUAUUAUCAUAACAAAAACAAAACUUUCAACAACGGAUCUCUUGGCUCUCGCAUCGAUGAAGAACGCAGC